rnacentral:rRNA from 1 species
AUGCCACUCUCGCCACCACUCCGCCUCAUCCUCUCCUCCCGCCGCCGGCCCCUCGCCACGCGCCACCGCUGCCUGUCCUCCGCCGCCGCCGCCGUAGCCGCUGCCACCCCAGCCACCUCAAGGGACCGCGCCGCCCACCUCGCCGCCGCCGUCCACGGCUCGGCCGCGGCCAAGAACUUCGCGCACGCCAUCCGUUUGACGAAAUCCCUCGUCCAGGCCUCCUCCCCCGGCGCGCGCCCGGGCGCUGCCGCCUUCGCCGCGCUCGCCUCCAGCUCCACCUCCCCUGGCCCCGCGCUCGGGGUGCUCGUCAUCGCUCUCUCCCAGAUGGCGCUCCACGACGAGGCGCUGUCCGUCUUCCACCGCCUGCCGACGCUGCCGGCGCUGCCCGCCUGCAACGCGGUCCUCGACGUGCUGGUGAGAGCCCACAGGUUCGACCGCGUCUGGAAGCUGUUCGACGAAAUGCUGAGCCGGGGGAUGACGCCGACCGUGGUGACGUACAACACGCUCAUCAACGCGUGCCGGCAUGAGGGCGCUGUGGCCAAGGCUCGGGAGGUCUGGAAGCAGAUGGCGGCGAGACGGAUUGGUCCAAAUGUGGUCACUUACUCGACGAUGAUAUCCGCACUCUGUGACGAGGGCUGCAUCGCCGAGGCUGAGCGGCUGUUCCUUACCAUGAAGCAAACAGGGAUGCGACCCAACCAUUACACAUACAAUGCACUGAUGAGCAGCCACUGCAAGAGAGAUGGUGUCAAGAGGGCACUCACGUUGUACCAGGAACUGCUGAAGAGUGGUCUCGUUCCCAAUGCUGUGAUCUUUACAACGCUGAUUGACGGUUUCUUCCAGGUGAACAGAAUAAGUGAUGCGAAAAAUAUUUUUCUUGACAUGCACAGGUAUGGAGUUGCUCCCACCGUGCCCGUGUACAACAGCUUGAUUGAUGGAGCUUUCAGGUCUGGUGAUUCACAAGAAGCAUUAACAGUUUAUGAGGACAUGGCUCGCCUAGGUUUGUGCCCAGAUGAGUUCACCUGCAGCAUAAUUGUAAGAGGCCUCUGUUCGGGAGGUCAAGUGCAGGUAGCGGCCAGGUUUCUUGAAGCAAUGCAGCAAUCUGGUGUUUAUCUUAAUGCUGCUGCAUACAACGCGCUAAUUGAUGAGUACUGCAAGAAUGGAGAUCUAGCUGAAGCCCUGGCAACAUGCACAAUAAUGAGUGAGGUUGGAAUUGAGCCCAAUGUGGUGACCUACUCCUCCUUGAUAGAUGGGCAUUCAAGGAAAGGGAAGAUGGAAAUAGCAAUGGCUAUAUACACGGAGAUGAUAGCCAAAGGGGUUGAACCUAAUGUGUUGACAUACACGGCUCUGAUUCAUGGCCAUGCCAAGGAUGGUGACAUCAAUGCUGCUUUUAGGUUACAGAAGGAGAUGGCGGAGAAAGGCAUUUCUCCAAAUUCAGUCACAGUGUCGGUUCUUGUUGAUGGUCUCUGCAGAGAGAAUAGGAUUCAAGAUGCAGUCAUGAUCUUCAUGAAGCACUCAGGGCAGAAGAAGCAUGCUGACAUUCGUACCUGUUUAUCGAACUCCACAACUGAGGAAGACCAUUCAAUCCCAAACAGUGUGACAUACAUGACCUUGAUAUAUGGUCUUUAUUUAGAUGGCCAAUACCGUGAAGCUGGUAAGUUCUUCUCUUGCAUGAGAGAAUCUGGUAUGGUGCCUGAUAGCUUCACUUACUCACUACUGAUCCGUGGACAGUGCAUGCUUGGCUAUGUCUUGAAUGCCAUGAUGCUCUAUGCUGAUAUGGUUAAAGUCGGUGUUAAACCCAUGACAGUCUGUCCUGACAUUUGGUCAAGGGAUGCAUCAAAUGAUCUCAAAACUGUUGAAACAUAA